rnacentral:lncRNA from 1 species
UACACCUGUCAUCUUUCUAAUCAGAUUUCACUGGCAGCCAGCUCCCUUGUCCUCAUGUGUUUCCCCUAGUGGGCACUUUUAUUUUGCCUGCCUGUAAUCACUUUUCCAAAUUCUUGUAACAGCCCCUUCCCACAGCUUAGCCUACAUGCUUGAGUUUCAUGGCUUUGGGGUGGAGAAAUUGAUACAGGCUCGCCAUGCUUCUGUAUCACAGGGAUCGGUUUCAGGGAGUUACAUGUAGACUAAUGUAAUGAAUCCCAGGAUUUGCUUGGGUGCUCACAGAGAGUCUCCUUUUAUUUCCAUUGAUCUUGAACUUGGGAAGGUUGUUGUGUUUUAGAAUGAAGCCCUAACUUGGAGGCAGAGAAAAACUAAGUCCUUAUUUUGGGUUAAUGUUAGUUGCUAUAACGAAGUG